AGUGAACGCUGGCGGUAGGCCUAACACCUGCAAGUCGAACGGCAGCACAGUAAGAGCUUGCUCUUACGGGUGGCGAGUGGCGGACGGGUGCGGAAUACAUCGGAAUCUACUUUUUCGUGGGGGAUAACGUAGGGAAACUUACGCUAAUACCGCAUACGACCUACGGGUGAAAGCAGGGGAUCUUCGGACCUUGCGCGAUUGAAUGAGCCGAUGUCGGAUUAGCUAGUUGGCGGGGUAAAGGCCCACCAAGGCGACGAUCCGUAGCUGGUCUGAGAGGAUGAUCAGCCACACUGGAACUGAGACACGGUCCAGACUCCUACGGGAGGCAGCAGUGGGGAAUAUUGGACAAUGGGCGCAAGCCUGAUCCAGCCAUACCGCGUGGGUGAAGAAGGCCUUCGGGUUGUAAAGCCCUUUUGUUGGGAAAGAAAAGCAGCAGGUUAAUACCCCGCUGUUCUGACGGUACCCAAAGAAUAAGCACCGGCUAACUUCGUG
rnacentral:rRNA from 1 species